GACAAUGAUAUAUUAUUUGUGAGGGUUGGAUGGCCGAAUAGUUAGCGCGUGCGCGUUGAAUCAUAAGGUCUAUCAUUAAGUCAACUGGCGUGGUGUCGAUUCCCCGGUUGUACGUGACAAGGAGUAGGGUCGCCUGCCCAACCUCGUGGGUUUUCUCCGGGUCCUCCGGUUUCCUCCCACUGCUCAGGACCCCUAAUCACAAGCGAAUUAUUGAAAUAAAAUUGAACCAUAUGUUAGUCCUGAAAUGACCUAGUUUGUCUCUCGAUAUAUUAUUUAAUGGAAGAAUUUGAACUUUGAGAACAACUUGAAACCGCUUGCUGUUCUUCCUUUAUGAUUUGUAACAUCAUUAGCUGUCUGAUUUUAACUGAUUUAUUUUAUGUGAUAUGCUUUUGGAUCAAAUAUUUUAUUACAUUGUAUAGCUUUCUCUCUAUCAGGCACGUGUGUAUUUAAAACAAGGAAAAUAUAAACAAGCAGAAGGUUUAUAUAAAGAAGUUUUAACACGAGCAUAUGAGAACAAAUUUGGGAAAGUAGAAGGUGAUAAUAAACCUAUUUGGAUGAGAGCAGAGGAAAGAGAAGAAAAUAAGGGUAAAUAUAAAGAUGGAGCAACCCCUCCUGAUUAUAGUAAAUGGCAUAAAUCACAAGCAAAAUUAUACAGUCCUACUUUGAUACUAACCUUGAAAAGACUUGGAGAACUGUACAGAAUACAAGGAAAAUAUGAAGCUGCACAAACUCUUGAAGAAUGUGCCAUGAGGUCUAAAUGAAUAUGAGUAGGCUUGUAGAAUAAUUUUAUUUUACUCAGAAUCCCCUUUAUUUUUGGGGAUUGGCUUGCUGUCAUAACCCAGAGUUUGAUCCGAUAUAGCUUACAUUUGUCAGUUCAUUAAAGGGACUAUCCCGAUUUGAACAGAGUCUCAAACAUAAAAGGCUGGGUACGUAAGCAAUUUAAGCGCCAAAAUAUAGAGGAAUGGUGUAUUUAUAUUUUCUCAAAAUUUCAGCUCAAAAUAUUGAGUUGUUUGGACGUGAACGUCAAAAUUCCUUAUCCAGACACGUAACUCUUUUAAGAUUUUGGGUCAAUUUUUUCGUUGGAUGACCUGAUAAUCGACCCCCGUUCCUUUAGAGGUCUCUACAAUGAAUGACCCAUGUGCUGUACCUGAUAACGAAAGGUAAAUUUCACCUACACAUUGGAUGACCUGAUAAUCGACCCCCGUUCCUUUAGAGGUCUCUACAAUGAAUGACCCAUGUGCUGUACCUGAUAACGAAAGGUAAAUUUCACCUACACAUUAUUUUUAUAAAAUAAAAGUCUGGUUUUAUCCAGACACCGCAUAAUACAGCUUGGGUCACCGGUCUCCAUUUCCAGAUAAAGACUGACGGGUUUAAGUUGUUUGAAAACGUAUCAUACAUGUUGAGUUAGUUACUCGGCCCUAAUAUAGAGAAUUUUAAGGGAUUUUAACACAAAAUUAAGCAGUUUAAUUCUCCAAAAUAUUAUCGGGAUUGGCCCUUUAAGAUAAAGAAUAAAAUAUAAAUGAAAUUCUUAUUAUAAUUACAAUCACAGUCUUCACGAUGCUUUGUCAUUUUCUCGUUUCCAACCUAUUAUUGCCUAGAAAGUAGAAAUAGGCAUUUAAUAGAAUCCUGAAAGAUAUCAGGUAGGUUUGCUAAUUCUAACUAACAUCUUCAAGCAGCACAAUGUACUCAGCUAUACACGUGUGUAUUACACUAUGAUUGCAAUAUAGUUAUUGAAAUAUUUAUAUUAAUACAUAAAAUAAAUAUUUACUACAUGUUAACACAUAUACUUCUUCCUAUAUCCACAAAUACUUUUAAUCAGAAAUAUGUGUUUAUAAUAGGUAUUAUGAUGGCUAGGCCCUUUAGUUAAUACAAUAAAUCAACUUAAAGGCUCAUUUUUAGUUAACAUUUUAUUGCUAAAUGUAAGCAUUUAGUAAUUAAACACAUUGAUACAUACAGGUUACAAUAUUCGGGAUAAACAAUAACUGAAAAAAUUAUCAUUCCUGAUAAAAUUAUCAUUGUUGUGGAAUUAUUGACUUUAAACCUGUUUAAUUGCCAGCAGAAGGCUAUCAGUGGUAACCAACACAUUAUAUAAUUAUUUCUGAUAAGCUGAUAUCCAAUUGUCAUCUAUUACAAACUCAUAUUGUAGUGUUGUAUUUUAUAAAGGCAGUGGCUAUUGUUACGACGAGUCGUAAAAAUAGUCCUCAGGCUAUUGUUACGACGAUGCUUUCACAGCCCCCCAUCGGCGAAGUUAAAAACUGAAUAGUCGUAAAAAUAGUCCUAACCGUAACCGUAACCCUUCCUAUCUCUUAAUUGCAGGCCUUUAAAACCUUUAAUCUAAAUAUUCCAUAUAUUAACAAUCAAUAAUAUGGUAAAAUGACAUUUAAUCCCUUAACUUAUUAUUUUUCUGUCACUAUAUAUGAGUACCAGGCCCCGAGUUCACGAAGCAUUCUCAGACAAAAGUUAAGAAUUUACUCAAAUUUGGUCGCCUUAAUUAUUUGGACUAAAUAUAACCCUUUAUACAACUUUUGUUGUUUUAAUGUAUCAAAUACAUCAAUAAGAAACUAUGUGCAAAGUUAUGUGUUUCUGGAUCAAAGAUAAUUAUCAUAAACAGUGAUUGAAAGUUGAGUAAAUUCUUAACUUAAAGGGCUAAUCCCGAUAAUUUUUUGGAGAACAAAACUGUUUAAUUUUCUUUUAAAAUCCCUUAAAAUCCUCUACCUAAGGGCCGAGCAACUAACUCAAUAUUUGUGAUACGUUUUCAAAUAACUGAAACCCGUCAGCCUUCAUCUGGAAAUGGAGAACGGUGUCCCAAGCUGUAUUAUGGGGUGUCUAGAGAAAACCAGACAUUUUUUGUAUAAAAAUAAUGUGUAGGUGAAAUUUACUUUUCAUUAUCAAGUACAGCAUUUGGGCCAUUCACUGUAUAGACCUCUCAAUGAACGGGAAUCGAUUAUCAGGUCUCCCACCGAAAAAAUUGACCCAAAAUCUUAAAAGGGUUACGUGUCCGGAUAAGCAGUUUUGACGGUCACGUCCAAACGACUCAAUAUUUUGAGCUGAAAUUUUGAGAUACGGUCAAUACACCAUUCCUCUAUAUUUUGUCAUUUAAAUUGCAUACAUACUCAGACUUUUAUUUUUGAGACUCUGUUCAAUAAGGGAUAGUCCCUUUAAGUCUGAGAAUUUUUUGUGAACUAGGGGCCCGAUUUCAUUGCAGCUUCAUUAUAUAUACAUGUAGCUUCAUUUUGGUAGCAGGGAAUUCCCCCUUGUUCUGUAUUUACCAAAUGAAUACGGUAAAAGGGUAUAAAAGAAUGCCUGAUUAUUCUAUGUAAACUUGUUGAUGUUUCUUUUCCUUUGGAGCUUAAAAGACAAUAUAUGGUGGGGUCAAUCAUGUUAAUAUAGAAAGAAAAUCUGCCAUUUUCCUCGUCUGAUAAAGGUUGAUUGUUUAGUGAUGUGCGUCUGUUUUGUCUGCUGCUUUUUUGUUUUUAUUUUUUAUUGCAUUUUAUUCUUUCCUUCACCAAUUUCUGUACACAUAAUAGAAUUUAACUUUGUUAAAUAUAAAUAAACAUGAUAUAUACAAUGUUUUAAUAUCUUAAUACAAUAUGACAUUUUUUGUUCGGAUUAAAGGACAUGUUUUAAUGUUCAAUUGCAAAAAGUUGUAGCACAAUGUGAAUCUUUACCACAUGAUGCUAAUCGUAUACGUCCACAUUUUCCUAUGGACGUAUAUUGUCGUCGCCCCUGCGGAAAAUCAAGCGUUGAAUUUUUAUUACAUGGCUGCUAAUCUUUGUCAUAUUUAUUAUACGUCAACAUUUUCCUACGGACUUAUAUUGCCGUCGUCACUGUGGACACUCAAGCGGUGAAAAUUUUACCCGAUUUUCAUCACACUUGGAAAGUAUGUUUAUGACCCAACGAUGUCGGUUCCUUGCGAUAGAUAUACAUCCAUCAAAUUUGCUUUUUUGAGAUUCAAGUUUGAAUAUAGAAAAACGAGUAGCUCGUAUUUCGACAUGCGCAAAUAUCGAAAAACGAGCUAUUUGUUUUUCGUUAUUCGCCAAUAUCGCAAAAAAUAAGCAAAAACAAAGAUUGAGCUAACUUCACAUGUAACAGAGUGAUUUAUACCUGAAGUUGACGUUUAUAUUAUGUUCGUUAUUUAUUUUUAAUAAAUAACCUGGUGUGACAAUCUGAUCUAUAACUGAAGUUGACGUUUAAACUCUCGACAACUUCUGUGAAGACACGUUCUUAAUAAACAUCUAGUUUAUUCAAGAUGUUCUUUAACAAGCUACACAUGAUCCACGUGUAACACUAGACUGAACUUCAAAGAGAAUGUAUCAUAUAUACCUUGACCUGACAAUGACUUUUAAAGAAAUAUGUAGUUUAAUUACAAACACCAUAAUUGAUAAUAAACAAUACCAUAUAUGAUUAUCACCCCUGUCCACCUCAACUAAUUGUUAGAGGCUUUAUAACAGCAAGUAAGAUUUGGAAUAGAGCUCCUCUCGAUUUAUGUCUAUUUCAUGUUCUCAAUAAAGGUCUUAUAAUUAU